GCGGUUGGCGCGACCCCCGGCCCGCGAUCUCGGGACGGGGGCGUGACAACUUAAGUGGUAUCAGAGCAUAAGUGGAUAAAAUCUAAGACAAAGAAUCUGACAUAAGAUGAGUGUAGGUGGAUAAACACUAAGGGCAUUGGACGUGAAUCCAUGUCAAUUGCAUUGUAAGCUACUUUCAAGAUUUUCUAUUAAGCCUUGUGAUAGAUUAUGUAUGAGAAGGUUACUAGGAAAUUAUGAUUGAAUUUACUUAUGAGGUUUGAUACAUUAUGGAAGAUUGGGCAAUCUAUGAAUCAAGUUAUAAUUAGUUAGAUUUGGAUCUAGAUUAAGUGCAAAAGGAUUGGCCAUGGAAUAUUAUCAUGCAUUGUGAUUAUUUAUUAUUUAAGUGAACUUGUAAACUCAAAAAUUGAUAUGGAGGUAUACUAUGAUUUUGCUUAAUUUUGAAGACAAUUUUUUUAGAGGCAAAUUAAGAUCCAUUUAUAUAAAGUUGUUUAAGAUUUGGGCUAUGAAACCUUUUUACAGUGCUUGAUUAAAAUAUUCUUCGAGGAUUGAAAACUGUAUGUGGAUCAUGUAUGAAACUCCUGUGUAGAUGGAGAAUAUAUUUGGGAUAAAAUUCUAGAAUUAAUUUAAAAUUACAAUAUAGAUUGGGAUUAUGAUUGGAAGUAAUUUAGUAAAUUAUGAGAAUACUGGUUGUUUAAAUUAUUUUAAGAUGAUCAACGAUAUUAACUCUAUGAUUGGAAAAUAUUUUCUGAUGGGUUUUCUUGUUAAGGAGAAUUUCGUUGUCAAAGAAAAGAAUAGUAUUUUUGAUUUUGACUGGAUAUUUUCAUGUUAUUAAUAGGUUCUUCUAUCUGUUGUAAAAAAGAGAGAGAGAGAGAAAUCUGGCAUCCCAAGUCUAGGAUUAAUUUAGCUGAUCUUGGAUUUGGAAUGUUUUAGCCUAGAUCUCUUUUCUCUUAAAUUUGUAGCUUAUGCUUUUGACAGAAUUAAGAAAUAAUUAUCAAUCUUGAAGAAAUAAUUUUAUUGGAGAUUUUAAAGUAUUCAUCUCUGUGGAUUAUUAUUAAUUUAAAUUAUCGUCUUUGGAUCCAAAUAAUAGAUCUUGUUCCUGUCUAUCAGAGACUAUGUGAUGUAUAUAAAACUUCAAUUCAAAGUUUGGAUUUAAGCCGAUCUAGGGUCUUUUGUCAAUAUUGUUGCGGUUGCUGAUAAAAAUCUAGAUUUGCAUAAAGAAUUUGUAUUUUAGAGGCUUACAUGGUUAUGAUGAAGGAUCUAUGAUAAAUGCUAAAGAUCUCGAUGAAGAAAACGUUAGGAGGGAUGGUUGAGUUGGUUUUACUCAUUUGUAUUGAUUUAACGCCUUCUAAUUUGGACGAGCAUUGAGAGAAUUCUUCUGGUUGAUUUUACGUGGAGUUUGACUUAGAAUCCUCUAGUUGAACUGAUAAGAGAAUUAAGAUUCAAUUAAUUUUGACCCGAGGGUGAAUCUAGACGGAUGGCUGGAGGUAAAGUAGGGGACGAGAAUCAAAGAUUUCUUUUUAGGCUCUACGUGGAAAUUGAAAUUUUGGAUCUCUUUAGUUCAUAAUACAAAAUAGUAUUUUGAUCAAAAAAUUAUUAGUGAAUCCAAAGAAUUUUGGUAGUUUGAAUCAGAGUGCGCAACGAAAGCGUAGUGGUCUGAACUAUUUUUCUAAGUUGGUCAGAAGUAUUAUUCCUUUAAUUCGGCAAGUUUUAAUAACAAAAGACUUGAUUUGAUUUUGAAUUUUUGGAUGUCGCUGCACUAUCUUAGGUUCUCUAAUUUUAUGUCAUGCUAAGGAAAUGAUUAACAUCUUGAGACUAGAAUUAAUAGAUCAUCGAUUUUGAUUUUGGAUCUGGAAUAUUUUGGUGUAGACCUAUUUCCUCCUAAAUCUGAAGCUUGUACUUCUUCAAUUAAUAUCAACCCUCUAUUUGAAAGAACUUGAGGUUGUCAAGUGACUUUGAUGAAUAUUCCACUAGGGAUCGAUUAAUCAAGAGUAGUUGAUAUUUUGACAAAGAAACUUGAUGUUCUUAUUCAAAAUUAAGACGUUGAUUUUUUAUUUAUGAGAGAGAGAAGUUUGAUUUACAUCAUCUAUAAAAGAACCAAAUCUGGAGGUAUUGGACCUUAUUCUUAUGAUAAGAUGAAAUUAUAUUGAUAAGUAGAACUAUUGGAAGACUGAGGUUAGUCUUCUAGUAGAGAAGAAUGUUGUUGGUUCUAUGAAUAAUCUGAAGGUAGCUAUGUAAUUUUCAUCAGUGGGGUUUUCUAUUGUUGACAAUUCUUGGGAGAAUCUUGGGCAUCUUAAAUUUAGUAUUAACGGAUUGAUGGUUACUUGGUUGGACUUAGACCUGGAAUACUUUAACAUGGAUCUCUUAUUUCCUAAUUCUGACGUUAUUAAUCUAUCUAUUUGAAAGGGGUUUGAGGUUUUUCUAAGACAAAGGUUGAUCAUUAUAUGAAAAAAAAAGAAAAAAUGAGGAGCAUUUGAUGCUAAAGCUUUCUCCUACUUACAUUUAACCGAUUAAAUUUCUACGUAGAAUUAAUCAAGAGCAAUUAAUUUUUUUCAGAAAAAGAAUUAUGGCAUUUUAAUCCAAGGAUGGAAGGUUAGUCUUAUUUCGAAAGAAAUCAAAAGAACUUGCUAUGAAUCAUGGAUGGAAAAGAUUGAGUUUUGAGAUGCCAUAUUUUUGCCAAAAUCUUGUGAGCCUGCAUUUCGAGAUGGGGAUUGUUUAUAAGCUCAGGAAUAAUAUGAUGUUUUCAUACUUUUCAAAAUUUGAAGCCUUAAGUGAGUUAAUUUCGAGGACGAAAUUAUUUUAAGGGGGGAAGAAUGUGAGACCCAAGCCUUUUGGCCUCACGUGUGUCGCACGUGAGGGCACACGAUGAAAGGGGAAUCAUCACGAUCGCGCGAGGAGAUGGAAACCCCUAUUUUUUUUAGGGCUUCUUCUCCUCAUUUGAAAGCCACCUGAGGUAGAGCCGCCACGCCGAGUCCCCUUCCGGUUGGGUGAUCUUCUUCCUCGCUUGCAGCUGAAAAAAAAAAAAAAAAAAAAAAACUCCACUGCCGCCGGAGAGGAAGAGAGCCGUCGAAGAGGGUCAUCACAGUUCACCCCCGAAACCAGGUAAGCCUCCCAACCACCUCAUUUUCCCUUUCCUGCAUUUUCUCCUCCCAAUCCACUCGGGAGGAUAGAUCAUUUCAAAAGAAAAGAAAAGAAAAGAAGAGGAAGAAGAAGAAAAGGAGAAAGAAAGAAGAGACGGAAGAGGGGGCUUACCCGUGUGCGGCUGCGAGUUUGUCGGCAUCACGGGGAGCAUCCACGGACGUCAUGGAAGCCUCCAGCCUCGGCUCGGCCGUGCGCAUAGGCCGCGAGCAUCGGCUGCAAACGCGAUCGAGGGCACAGCGGGCUCGGCUGGAGGCACUGCCGGUCAUGGCCUGGCCCCUCCCAAGCUCGCCUUCCCCCUCCGUAGGAGAAGAAAGGAGAAGAAAGGGGGAGGGUUGAGAAGAAUAUGAGAAGAAGAAGGGAAGAGCUGAGAGAAGAGAAGGUGAAUCGGGAACGGAAGAAGAAAAAAAAAAAA